GGGAUCCCAACUGACCUAUGGCACAGUGUGAGUAGGUCACGUGUGGUGCAGCAUGAUAAUGGAAUAUGCUGCAUCGUGUGUGACCUCCCUACACUGCACUGUGUCUCUCCUACUGGAGAUU
rnacentral:precursor_RNA from 13 species